UCCUGAGACUGACUGAACGAACCAUCGUCCUGCCGCGGUCCGCUUUCCUUUUCCUAAACCCUAGCCGGAGCUGCCCUGACACCCUGGAAGCGAGAGGGAAUGCGAUCUCCAGCCAUGGCUAUCUUCAAGGGCUCGUGCUGCAUCACAUCAACUACCGCUUUCGCGUCAUUCGUAGUCGUCCAGAAGGACCAGAACGAUCUCCAGUUCCCGGGCAAAUUAUGGUCUUCGACCGAGAUGAAGUGACGAACCUUGUUAUCGGCUAUCGCAUGAAGUUCUCGAAUAUGCUUCCUACAUUGGUAGGCUCUACAAAGCCUAGCGAACAGAAUGAGGACCGCAACACCUUCGUCCUUGCACGACCGCUCUGGGGAUACAACGGCAUAUCACGCUCCAGUUAGUGCCUAGUUGUCAGCGCCGCUUGCAGCUUGCCCUCUGGUUGUUCGCAUACCCGUGCCAGGGCAGAUGCCUGUAUUUCCUAGCCUGCUCAUAUGCGCAAGUUCAGUGUGCUGCCAUUCCUGGCACUCUACCACUGCCUUUCUUGACCCCAACACCAUAGUUUGGCGGAUGCACGUUGGGGGCCGCUUCAGACGACGAGACAUGUUGAUUUUUGAAGAAGAUUUCAACUAGAUGUUUUGUUCUGUCAUGUUGGUGUUGUUAGGAGUCCUACAUCCAAAGGUAGGGAGGCCAUAAAGGGAUUUAUAACCAAGUCACGCCAUAUACAUCUUGCACAUGGUGCAUGGAUGUGAGUGUGCAUGAGUUUGUGUUAGCCAACACACACUUGGGCGGCCGGGGUGUGCACAUUACCGGCUUGGACAUAAGUAGCAUAACCAAUUCUUCACGUAUAUGAUAAGUUUAGUUCUAUCAUGCUUUAUGAAUUGAUCAAAUCUGUUGUUUAUAAAUACAAAAGCUUCCAGUUCUGAAAGUAUUCUUCUUCUAUAUGUUCAGACAGUGUUAUUCUUCUUUAUGUCCCAAUUAGAAACUCUUCAUAUUCAUUUACUAGAGGCCUUUUGGAAAUUCAUAAUUCGUUAUGUUUUACAUUGUUGAAUGUAUCUAUUUUAAACAGGUUGGUUGUCGGAUAUUGGGCGGGUUGGCACAUUUUGUUCACUGUUGGUGACAAUAUUAUUUCAAAGAGGCUUGCUGUUGCUUCAAUCAGUCCAUGGCUGUGGGGUUCUUUGGAAUUGGAAAUUUUUACCUGCAUUCCAUUUUUGGUAAAUAAAGUUUCCCACUUAUCAUUUGCAUACUGGGUGCAUUAUGCACAUCAGACGAGGUAUGAACUAGGUCUAGAUAUCUGGCCACCUCAACCACGAUGAUGGGGGUACGUUGGCUACAAAAUCUAAUGUAUCAACUGGAUUAGGGAACUAGCGGUGCUAGAUGGUUGCAGUUUCCAAACUGUACUAGAGAAUUGUACAGUUUCCAGCAAGCAACCAAAAGCGAAUUGCAAUGCAUUUUAAUUUUGAAUUUGUUAAUGUUAUAUCAGUGGACAUUAACAAGUUCUAUGACAUUGCAACAUCUUUAUAGUUUUUUUUUUAGUUUCCUUCUUUUCAUGCUCCUUAUUUAUAUUUUCACUGCAGCAUAUUGAGAUGCUUCUUUACAAUUUCUUCACACUGGCUUUGGUUUUGAAUAUAAUAAAAUAUAUUCUCUAUCUUUUACUAAUUAAAAAUUAAUUUGGUUUAUCCAAUGAAUUGAGAAUAUUGAAAUUCUUCUUUCUUGCUCUCUAAUCCUUUUUCCUGUUCCAAUUAUUUUUUUCCCAAUAUGUCCGAGAUAUUUCUUAUAGGAAAAGCUUUGAAUUACAUCAAAGUAUUGUACGUGUAUCUGAACUUCCAUGCGUACUCUUAUCCAUGAAUCUUAAGCCAUAUCAUUGUAAUUUGGUUUAUACACCUCUUGAUCUACAAAA